UCAGGAUGAACGCUAGCGACAGGCUAACACAUGCAAGUCGAGGGCAGCAUAGAAGUAGCAAUACUUGGUGGCGACCGGCGCACGGGUGAGUAACGCGUAUGCAACCUACCUAUCAGAGGGGAAUAACCCGGCGAAAGUCGGACUAAUACCGCAUAAAACAGGGGCACCGCAUGGUGAUAUUUGUUAAGAAAUUCGCUGAUAGAUGGGCAUGCGUUCCAUUAGGUAGUUGGUGAGGUAACGGCUCACCAAGCCGACGAUGGAUAGGGGAACUGAGAGGUUGGUCCCCCACACUGGUACUGAGACACGGACCAGACUCCUACGGGAGGCAGCAGUGAGGAAUAUUGGUCAAUGGGCGGGAGCCUGAACCAGCCAAGUCGCCGUGAAGGAAGAAGGAUCUAUGGUUCGUAAACUUCUUUUGCAGGGGAAUAAAGUGCAGGACGUGUCCUGUUUUGUAUGUACCCUGAGAAUAAGGAUCGGCUAACUCCGUGCCAGCCGCGGC
rnacentral:rRNA from 1 species